rnacentral:lncRNA from 1 species
GUUUUCCCCUGGUCGGAACGGCGGACUCAGGCGCGGAGCACAGGAAGAGUUUAAAAGGGGCGAGCCAGAAGACAUAGUCAAAAAACAGGCAGAGGGUCGCCGAUGUGCUGCCGAAAUCUUAGGAGAAUCCAAGAGACGUAAUCCAAAACAAGCAGGGAGUCGUAGAGCCAGGAAGUCGAGCCGAUUCGGGAGAGGGGUCAGGGAACGAGGACGAGGAGGGGGAAGGUUGAGGACGAGGAUCAGGAAGAGGCUGAGGAAGGGAGACGGGACAGCACAGGCAAGUUUAAAAAUAUCAUCAAUGAUAUGUUGGAAAUCUUAAAGCAAAUGCCUGUGUUUCUGGAUCUGCGGGGUGGUGAAAUAGCCAAGCACAUGGUGUCUGUGUUGGUGACCAUGGCUAAACAUCUGGAAAAGGAUGUUGCUGAAGCCCGAGAAAGGUACCACCUUUCAUUAAUUUGAUGUUAAAAACUUUAUUUCUUUACGUUUAUUCAUUUAGCUACUGCUUUUAUCUGAAUAUUCUCACAGUUUGUGAUGUUAAACAACUUGCCGCAUAGGCGUACGAGCUGUUGCAUUUAGACCCAAAAGUUCUAGGUUCAAGUCCCACCUCCAGCUGUUAUACCCUUGAGCAAAGUACUUACAUUACCCAGCAAGUUUUUUUUUUUUUUUUUU